rnacentral:rRNA from 1 species
AGCCCACCAGCUAGCUCACCCCCUGAACAUAACAAUCAACUAUUAAUUAACCCCUAAAGACCUAGGAUACCCAAGGCCAAACCAUUUUUCCCCCCAAGUAUGGGAGACAGAAAAGGAUACAAGAAGCAACAGCGACAGUACCGCAAGGGAAUGCUGAAAGAGAAAUGAAACAAACCAGUAAAGCACAAAAAAGCAGAGAUUAAUUCUCGUACCUUU